GCGCGAAACCUCCGCAAUGCGGGAAACCGCGACGGGGGGACCCCGAGUGCCGUGGCAACGCCACGGCUUUUCCGGAGUGUAAAAAGCUCCGGGAAUAAGGGCUGGGCAAGGCCGGUGGCAGCCGCCGCGGUAAUACCGGCGGCCCGAGUGGUGGCCGCUAUUAUUGGGCCUAAAGCGUCCGUAGCCGGGCCCGUAAGUCCCUGGCGAAAUCCCACGGCUCAACCGUGGGGCUUGCUGGGGAUACUGCGGGUCUUGGGACCGGGAGAGGCGGGGGGUACCCCUGGGGUAGGGGUGAAAUCCUAUAAUCCCAGGGGGACCGCCAGUGGCGAAGGCGCCCCGCUGGAACGGGUCCGACGGUGAGGGACGAAGGCCAGGGGAGCAAACCGGAUUAGAUACCCGGGUAGUCCUGGCUGUAAAGGAUGCGGGCUAGGUGUCGGGUGAGCCUCGAGCUCGCCCGGUGCCGUUGGGAAGCCGUUAAGCCCGCCGCCUGGGGAGUACGGCCGCAAGGCUGAAACU
rnacentral:rRNA from 1 species